rnacentral:lncRNA from 1 species
CUGCACUAAGGAGUGUGACCUGGAGAUCAUGUGGCUUUGGGGGAGUGCUGGCAGAGUUGAAUCAAGCAUGAAUCAGAAAUCUUUUUUGAAUAAUGAGACAGAAAAAAGCCACCAGCACCCAGAAACAGACUGUGAUGGCCCCGAGGACCAGGCUCCCUCCUGUGCAGCUCUGCUGGGAAGCAAGGGAGGGUGGUGCUGCUGCCCCACUCCAGGUGUUGUUUCCUGGCUUGCUGGUGAGGGCGGGAAGCAUUUUGCAGAGCAGGCAUCAGCUCUCCACCACUGAAGUGUGUUUUGUGUGGAAAUUCUGGUUUUGUUUUGCUGUGGAUGAAGUACAGAAAGUGAGUAAAUGAGAUGCUCUUCUAGCAGACAGGUGUGGGCUGGAUUCUGGCAGCUCCUGUACAAGUUCUUUGUUCACAUGUGUUGUAAAGAAAAGGGUAUAUGUCAAUUUAUUCAGUUUUCUUUUUAGUAUCAUUCAAGAGUUAGACAAGAUCUCUCAUGCCUUACAUGUUCUUCGCUUUGCUAAAACAGCCUUCUGAAGAAAGUGGAAAAAAAAAAGUUAGAAGUAGUUCCUGUGUACAACAGGUUAAAUAGCUUUGAAAUGGAAUGUGAAGUAAAUAACUUCUAAGCAUAGUUAUUCCUUUUUCUUGGUGAAUUCUUGGCUCUCGCAUGACAUGGAGAUCUUAUUUUCAGGAAAAAAAACAUAAAACCCCCAUAUCCUUUGGCAUGUUUGAUGGAAAUCAAUCUGAAUUGAAAUUUCAACUGUUAGUAAAUCAAUGCCAUCCCCAUGCUCUCUGUGAAUACUUGUCUGUUCAUGUUUAUAUUUAUUUAAAGAAAGGCUGCACA